rfam:Colletotrichum fioriniae PJ7 Scaffold_644.1, whole genome shotgun sequence.
GGCUGUGUGUUCUAGUGGUUAUGAUUCCUCGUUCACAAUGUGAACACUUGAACUCCGAGGAGGUCGCAGGUUCGAACCCUGCCGCGGUCA